CUUCGAUUAAGGUUCGAUUCGAGCGCAGCGAGAAAGCGUUGCCGCAGGCAACGACCCGAAGGGCGAAGCGCGCAGCGCUGAGUCAUCCUUCCCCCACCACCA
rnacentral:sRNA from 1 species